AUUGAACGCUGGCGGCAGGCUUAACACAUGCAAGUCGAGCGGAGAUGAGGUGCUUGCACCUUAUCUUAGCGGCGGACGGGUGAGUAAUGCUUAGGAAUCUGCCUAUUAGUGGGGGACAACAUUCCGAAAGGAAUGCUAAUACCGCAUACGUCCUACGGGAGAAAGCAGGGGAUCCUCGGACCUUGCGCUAAUAGAUGAGCCUAAGUCGGAUUAGCUAGUUGGUGGGGUAAAGGCCUACCAAGGCGACGAUCUGUAGCGGGUCUGAGAGGAUGAUCCGCCACACUGGGACUGAGACACGGCCCAGACUCCUACGGGAGGCAGCAGUGGGGAAUAUUGGACAAUGGGGGGAACCCUGAUCCAGCCAUGCCGCGUGUGUGAAGAAGGCCUUAUGGUUGUAAAGCACUUUAAGCGAGGAGGAGGCUACUGAGACUAAUACUCUUGGAUAGUGGACGUUACUCGCAGAAUAAGCACCGGCUAACUUCGUGCCAGCAGCCGCUGUAAUAC
rnacentral:rRNA from 1 species